CCUACGGGAGACAGCAGUGGGGAAUAUUGCGCAAUGGGCGAAAGCCUGACGCAGCGACGCCGCGUGAGGGAUGAAGGUCUUCGGAUCGUAAACCGCUGUCAGCAGGGAAGAACGGUCACUGUGCUAAUCAGCAGUGAAUUGACGGUACCUGCAACGGAAGCACCGGCUAACUCCGUACCAGCAGCCGCGGUAAUACGGAGGGUGCGAGCGUUAAUCGGAAUUACUGGGCGUAAAGCGCUAGUAGGCUGUAUGUCAAGUCAAGGGUGAAAUCCCCGCGCUCAACGUGGGAACUGCCUUUGAAACUGGCAAACUGGAGUGUGUGAGAGGAUAGUGGAAUUCCGGGUGUAGGAGUGAAAUCCGUAGAUAUCUGGAGGAACAUCAGUGGCGAAGGCGACUAUCUGGCACAUAACUGACGCUGAGGAGCGAAAGCGUGGGUAGCAAACAGGAUUAGAUACCCCAGUAGUC
rnacentral:rRNA from 1 species